rnacentral:rRNA from 1 species
UACGAAGGGGGCUAGCGUUACUCGGAUUGACUGGGCGUAAAGGGCGCGUAGGCGGCUUGUACAGUCAGGCGUGAAAUUCCUGGGCUCAACCUGGGGGCUGCGUUUGAUACGUGCGGGCUUGAGUUCGGAAGAGGGUCGUGGAAUUCCCAGUGUAGAGGUGAAAUUCGUAGAUAUCGUAAGGAAGACCAGUGGCGAAGGCGGGUCUCUGGACAGUUCCUGACACUGAGACACGAAGGCCAGGGGAGCAAACGGG